ACCUACUGGAUGCCUCAGUAACGGCGAGUGAAGCGGCAASAGCUCAAAUUUGAAAUCUGGCGUCCCCGACGUCCGAGUUGUAAUUUGGAGAGGCAUCUUCCGGAGGGGCCCAGCCUAUGUUCCUUGGAACAGGACGUCGUAGAGGGUGAGAAUCCCGUUCUCGGCUGGAUGUCCCCACCUGCAUGUAGUGUCUUCUACGAGUCGAGUUGUUUGGGAAUGCAGCUCAAAAUGGGUGGUAAAUUUCAUCUAAAGCUAAAUAUUGGCGARARACCGAUAGCGCACAAGUARAGUGAUCGAAARAUGAAAAGCACUUUGAAAAUAGAGUCAAACAGUACGKGAAVUUGUUGAAAGGGAAAYCSCUUGAGACCARACUCSGCCUUGKACAAMCAACCUACCUUCUGGUUGGAGCACUUGCCCUUGGCCGGGCCASCAUCAKUUGGGACGGCGGGAUAAAGGCCACGGGAAUGUGGCUCCUCUCGGGGAGUGUUAUAGCCCUGGGCGCCAUGCCGCCAGUCCUGACUGAGGACCGCGCUUYGGCKAGGAUGCUGGCAUAVUGGUCUUCRGCGACCCKUCUUGAAACAC
rnacentral:rRNA from 1 species